ACAACUCCUCCAUGAAAUAUGUUCAUUUUUGUAAUACAGGGCAAGAUUUUAUGUUUUAAAGAACAAACAUUAUUCAUCACACUUGGGAUGUGAACAAAAAGACACAUGAAGGAGGGUAAAGAGACUCAGAGCUAUUCCUGAUGUCACCCCCAUAAAGGGUCCUCUGAAAAGCCUCCUGAGGACAGCAGGAUCUGAAAGCUGUUAUUUUUGUGAGUGUUGCCAGACAUGAGAUACAAGAAAACAUGAUAUCUUUACAUAGCCUUCUGCCACACUUCAACUUUCCUUCAAAUUAGACCCACACAGGAGAGUAUAUAUGAAUAUCUCCAAGAAUAAGAUGAAACUCUGCAGUGAACCAUUCUUCUACAUCAGCCUCUGCCAGGAAAGCUAAGACACAUUAAGUACUGGAGACUCUGCAACAUCCAAAUCAGAAACUCUGCAGAACACCAGUCUAUUCAUAAAGACCUGAUUUGCACGUUCUCAGCACUUGGCUUCCUUUGAAUGGGAUUAGAUGGCACAAUCUCUUUUCACACUGCUUCUAUUUGAAGCUCCUGCUUCACAAAUAGAUACAACCCUGAGCUUCCCAAAACGGAAGCUACAGAUUAGCACCUACUCAUAUCCACCCACAUGCCAGGAUGAAAAGGGAAUGAGAACAAUGGAUAUUUUGGAUAUUUGCCAACUAUGGAUGUAUUGCCAGCUAAGAAAAUGCCACAAGCAGAAGGCAGAGCAGGAAGCUCUCCUCCCAAGUGAGGGUUGAGGCAAGAUCAAUCUGCUUCUUGAAGUACUGAGGCCUUUCACAGAAAUGAAAAAACAACAUCAGCACACAUCCUGGGAAAAUUCCAGAUAAAACCUCCCCACAGCAUGGCAAUGCUUAACACAUCCUCAGUUGAAACAACUGCUACAUCAUGUCCCCGAGGCAACAAGAAGUCAGAAAAGAUAAAACAAUUCUUUUGUACACUGUAUAGUUUUGCUGUGGGCUUGAGGAUCCAUCUGCCUAGAAGGUGUUUGAAAAAUGAAAGGUGUUGUCUUGUUUUUAAUUGUUAUGAAUGUUUUUGAUCAAACAGUUAUUGAAGAAACACAGCUAUGAUCCUACAACACUAACACAUUAAAUAUUCUCUAAUUU